GCUGGGUUAGCUCAGUGGCUAGAGCUUAGGCCUUGGGAUCAGAAGUUCCCGGGUUCGAGUCUCGCCAGAGAA
rnacentral:tRNA from 1 species